rnacentral:snoRNA from 1 species
AAAAAUUAGUCUGGCACAAUUUGAACUUGCUACAGCAAGAAUGUCUAACCUAUUCCAGUGCUCUCCCCUCUGCGAGAUGGGCCAUUACAUAAACUUAAACAGU